UUGGUUUUACCAAUAUAUGAUUUGAUAUCCACCUUUUUUUAAUUUUUCUUUCUUUGCAACAUCAAGGGUGUUACCGCAAAUCCAGAGACGGAUCUGUCAUAAUAAGUUUCAAAGGAAAGGUAUAACUAAAUUUCCACAUUCUAGUCAUAGUUUUGAAAAUAAAGUAAUGUAAAUUUCUCCGCUAAGCCAUUCUAGUGUUGUUACAGGACCUAACACGCCUUGAAUCAGCUAUAAGCGCAUUACAAAAGAAGUUUAAAUCUGGUGCUUUCACAGAGACGAAGUAGCAUGAUUGAUAUCUACAUGCAUUGACAUGUCAUGGUGCAUUACAAAUAUAAGAUGCAAAGUGAUAAAAAUGGACAAGGAAGAAAAUCAAGGGUGCUAUUAUCAUUACAAAAGGAAGAAAAAUGGUACAAACAAGUGGCUGAAGCUUCAAUAUUCACAACACUUUUAUCUCCUUCAAGGAGCUUGAUUAUUACUGAAUGAUGAUUAUUAUCUCAAUUUACAGCACCAGUUUACAAAUACACAUGAUUUUUCAUUGAAAACACACCAGUUGAACCUUUUAAGUUGGCAGCAUUAUUUACACUAUCAGAUUUAUGGCUACUUUUUACCUGAUUUUGAUGUUGAUUGAAGGAGUAACUGUGUAUGAACCACUUAAGCCAAUUUAUUACUGAGAUAUGGUUUGCCCAAAGGAGUAAGCCAUUUAUGUAUGAACCACUUUUGACCAUAUUUUUUUAACUAUUCAUUACCGAGGCAUUUAGCGUUUGGUAACACAAAUAAGCUAGCUUAUAAUUUAUUAUAUUAGCUUAUAAGCUUAUUUCAUAAAAUUAAAGAUGUCUGGUAACAAGUUUUUUCACUAGCUUAUAGUUUUUUUCUAGAUGCUAUUUCAAGUAGCAUUUGAGCUUAUAGCUUAUAGUAGUAGCUUUUUACCGUUCAUUCCAAUUUUAACCUUAUUAUUUUAAUUAUUAUUUCUUUAUUUAUUUUUUAAAUAAAAAACCACCCACUUACAAAAAUAACUAUCCACUCAUACAAAAUAAUCAUAUAUUUUUAUGUCAUUUUGUACUUGCAACAACUAAAUUUACCUAAUACUUAAUUUCAUUUUACUAAUUUUUCAGCUAUUGGUUAAAAGUUAACUUAUCGGCUAUCACCUAGCUUAUAACUUAAUUUAAUUUUACAUAGGAGAGCCUAAUGUAUUGAAUUUUUUUGACAAUCUCAUAAAGGAAUUUACUGAGAUGAAUGAAUUUGUAUGAUAAAGAUAAAUAAGAUGGUUUAAAACAUGAACAAUAUAUAAUCUUAUUUGUGUAAUCUUGACAACACUGUGGCCAUACAUUAGUAUUUAUUAAAUUUAUUCUUUAAGUUCCAGCAUAAUAACUUACAUGCUUUGCUUCAAAAAAAAAAAAAAAACUUACAUAUGCUUAUAAAUAACAUAUAAUUAAUUUUCAACUUAAUCAGUCGGUUCACAGAUACAAAUGUACAAACGGCACUUGGUUAUAUAUCCCUUGUAACAUUUAUUUUCUUUACAAUCAUCAUCAGUAAAGCAAAAUGAACUAUCUGUGAUGUCAAAUAAGAGUAAAGGAAUUUAUUAAAAACAGAUUAACGAUUAUGUAUAUGAUAAAGAAGUUAGUCUAAAAUAGGUGUAUGGAAAAGAACUUACCAUAACUGGUUACAAGAGCAAUUAGAGAAAAAAUAAUAAUUAAAACAUGAAUGAAUUUGAGAGUUUUAUUCAUAUUUUUCACCCUUUGCAUACAUAAUAAAUAAAAUUU
rnacentral:lncRNA from 1 species